ACCCGUGUCCCCUGCAUCGGCAGGCGGACUCUCAACCACUGCGCCACCAGUUCCUGCUUGAUUAUACUGAGGUUAAAGAUUUUUGGAAACAAUACUUCUCAAAUGAUGCUGGUGCUUCAUACUGUAUCACAUCUGGAGACACAUAAUGUCAGGAGGAGCCAGAUCAUUGCAGCUCUAUUUACAAUAGCCAG